rnacentral:misc_RNA from 1 species
AACGCACAUUGCGCCCCUUGGUAUUCCAUGGGGCAUGCCUGUUCGAGCGUCAUUUGUACCUUCAAGCUCUGCUUGGUGUUGGGUGUUUGUCCACUCCCUGGUGUCUGGACUCGCCUUAAAGCAAUUGGCAGCCAGUGUUUUGGUAUUGAAGCGCAGCACAUUUUGCGUCUCCAGCCUAGAACGCUUGCGUCCAGUAAGCCUUUUUCCACUUUUGACCUCGGAUCAGGUAGGGAUACCCGCUGAACUUAA